UGGGGAAUAUUGCACAAUGGGCGCAAGCCUGAUGCAGCCAUGCCGCGUGUGUGAAGAAGGCCUUCGGGUUGUAAAGCACUUUCAGCGAGGAGGAAGGUGGUGAGCUUAAUACGCUCAUCAAUUGACGUUACUCGCAGAAGAAGCACCGGCUAACUCCGUGCCAGCAGCCGCGGUAAUACGGAGGGUGCAAGCGUUAAUCGGAAUUACUGGGCGUAAAGCGCACGCAGGCGGUUUGUUAAGUCAGAUGUGAAAUCCCCGGGCUCAACCUGGGAGCUGCAUUUGAAACUGGCAAGCUAGAGUCUCGUAGAGGGGGGUAGAAUUCCAGGUGUAGCGGUGAAAUGCGUAGAGAUCUGGAGGAAUACCGGUGGCGAAGGCGGCCCCCUGGACGAAGACUGACGCUCAGGUGCGAAAAGCGUGGGGAGCAAAACAGGAUUAGAUACCCUGGUAGUCCACGCUGUAAAACGAUGUCGAUUUUGGAGGUUGUGCCCUUGAGGCGUGGCUUCCGGAGCUAACGCGUUAAAUCGGCCGCCUGGGGAGUACGCCGCAAGAUU
rnacentral:rRNA from 1 species